rnacentral:rRNA from 1 species
UUUCCGGUUGAUCCCGCCGGAGGUUACUGCUAUCGAGGUUCGACUAAGCCAUGCGAGUCGAAUGUAGCAAUACAUGGCGAACUGCUCAGUAACACGUGGACAACCUGCCCUUAGGUUGGGUAUAAACCCGGGAAACUGGGUAUAAUACCCGAUAGGUCUCGAUUGCUGGAAUGCAUCGAGAUUUAAAGCUCCGGCGCCUAAGGAUGGGUCUGCGGCCUAUCAGGUAGUAGUGGGUGUAGCGUACCUACUAGCCUACGACGGGUACGGGUUGUGAGAGCAAGAGCCCGGAGAUGGAUUCUGAGACACGAAUCCAGGCCCUACGGGGUGCAGCAGGCGCGAAAACUUUACAAUGCUGGCAACAGCGAUAAGGGAACCUCGAGUGCCAGGUUACAAAUCUGGCUGUCGAGAUGCCUAAAAAGCAUUUCAUAGCAAGGGCCGGGCAAGACCGGUGCCAGCCGCCGCGGUAACACCGGCGGCUCGAGUGGUAACCGUUAUUAUUGGGUCUAAAGGGUCUGUAGCCGGCCGGAUAAGUCUCUUGAGAAAUCUGGCAGCUUAACUGUCAGCUUUCACGAGAUACUGUCUGGCUCGAGGCCGGG